GACGAACGCUGGCGGCGUGCCUAAUACAUGCAAGUAGGACGCAGUUGCGAACGGGUGAGUAACGCGUAGGUAACUACCUAUUAGAGGGGGAUAACUAUUGGAAACGAUAGCUAAUACCGCAUACCAGUAGAUGGACAUGCGUUGUAUUAGCUAGUAGGUAGGGUAAUGGCCUACCUCGGCAACGAUACAUAGCCGACCUGAUGGGUGUGACGGCCACCCUCGGACUGAGACAAGGCCCAGACUCCUACGGGAGGCAGCCAUAGGGGAUCUUCGGAAAUGGGGGGAACCCUGACCGAGCCACUCCGCGGUAUUGAAGAAGGUUUUCGGAUCGUAAAGCUCUGUUGUGUAGGAAGCGGUACUUAACCAGAAAGGGACGGCUAACUACGUGCCAGCAGCCGCGGUAAUUC
rnacentral:rRNA from 1 species